GGCGGCGUGCCUAAUACAUGCAAGUAGAACGCUGAAGAAAGGAGCUUGCUUCUUUUGGAUGAGUUGCGAACGGGUGAGUAACGCGUAGGUAACCUGCCUUGUAGCGGGGGAUAACUAUUGGAAACGAUAGCUAAUACCGCAUAACAGCUUUUGACACAUGUUAGAAGCUUGAAAGAUGCAAUUGCAUCACUACGAGAUGGACCUGCGUUGUAUUAGCUAGUAGGUAGGGUAACGGCCUACCUAGGCGACGAUACAUAGCCGACCUGAGAGGGUGAUCGGCCACACUGGGACUGAGACACGGCCCAGACUCCUACGGGAGGCAGCAGUAGGGAAUCUUCGGCAAUGGGGGCAACCCUGACCGAGCAACGCCGCGUGAGUGAAGAAGGUUUUCGGAUCGUAAAGCUCUGUUGUAAGAGAAGAACGUGUGUGAGAGUGGAAAGUUCACACAGUGACGGUAACUUACCAGAAAGGGACGGCUAACUACGUG
rnacentral:rRNA from 1 species